rnacentral:ncRNA from 1 species
NNNNNGUGCUGGAAGAUUAACAGGCAGAUGUUUGCGCAUUAAAUUGGAAGUCCCCAGUAAACCGGCGGCCGUAACUCUGACGGUCCUAAGGGUAGCGAAACUCCUUGUCGGUUAAGUUCCGCCCUGCAUGAAA